GACGGAAGGUGCAAGCGUUGCUCGGAAUCACUGGGCGUAAAGGGUGCGUAGGCGGCCGUGCAAGUCUGGCGUGAAAGCCCCGGGCUCAGCCCGGGAAGUGCGCUCGAAACUGCGCGGCUCGAGUGCCGGAGGGGAGAGUGGAAUUCCUGGUGUAGCGGUGGAAUGCGCAGAUAUCAGGAGGAACACCGAUGGCGAAGGCAGCUCGCUGGGACGGUACUGACGCUGAGGCGCGAAAGCGUGGGGAGCGAACAGG
rnacentral:rRNA from 1 species